CUACGGGUUGCUGCAGUGGGGAAUAUUGGACAAUGGGCGCAAGCCUGAUCCAGCAAUGCCGCGUGAGUGAAGACGGCCUUAGGGUUGUAAAACUCUUUCGCUAGGGAAGAUAAUGACUGUACCUAGUAAAGAAGUCCCGGCUGAACUCCGUGCCAGCAGCCGCGGUAAUACGGAGGGGACUAGCGUUGUUCGGAAUUACUGGGCGUAAAGAGUUCGUAGGCGGACUGACAAGUUAGAGGUGAAUCCCAGGGCUCAACCCUGGAACUGCCUUUAAAACUGUCAGUCUAGAGACCGGAAGAGGUUAGGGGAAUACCUAGUGUAGAGGUGAAAUUCGUAGAUAUUAGGUGGAACACCAGUGGCGAAGGCGCCUAACUGGUCCGGUACUGACGCUGAGGAACGAAAGCGUGGGGAGCAAACAGGAUUAGAUACCCGCGUAGUC
rnacentral:rRNA from 1 species